AGCGGCGAACGGGUGAGUAACACGUAGGUGAUCUGCCCAUCAGACGGGGACAACGAUUGGAAACGAUCGCUAAUACCGGAUAGGACGAAAGUUUAAAGGUGCUUCUGGCACCGCUGAUGGAUGAGCCUGCGGCGCAUUAGCUAGUUGGUAGGGUAAAGGCCUACCAAGGCGACGAUGCGUAGCCGACCUGAGAGGGUGAACGGCCACACUGGGACUGAGACACGGCCCAGACUCCUACGGGAGGCAGCAGUAGGGAAUCUUCGGCAAUGGGCGAAAGCCUGACCGAGCAACGCCGCGUGAAUGAUGAAGGCCUUCGGGUUGUAAAAUUCUGUUAUAAGGGAAGAACGACUUUAGUAGGAAAUGGCUAGAGUGUGACGGUACCUUAUGAGAAAGCCACGGCUAACUACGUGCCAGCAGCCGCGGUAAUACGUAGGUGGCGAGCGUUAUCCGGAAUUAUUGGGCGUAAAGAGCGCGCAGGUGGUUGAUUAAGUCUGAUGUGAAAGCCCACGGCUUAACCGUGGAGGGUCAUUGGACACUGGUCGACUUGAGUGCAGAAGAGGGAAGUGGAAUUCCAUGUGUAGCGGUGAAAUGCGUAGAGAUAUGGAGGAACACCAGUGGCGAAGGCGGCUUCCUGGUCUGUAACUGACACUGAGGCGCGAAAGCGUGGGGAGCAAACAGGAUUAGAUACCCUGGUAGUCCACGCCGUACACGAUGAGUGCUAAGUGU
rnacentral:rRNA from 1 species